rnacentral:tRNA from 5 species
GCCGGAAUAGCUCAGUCGGUAGAGCAGAGGAC